UUGGAUGGGCAGAGAGCUAGGCGCUGCCAUCCCUUGAGGUGGCUGAUGGCUGCGCACGCUCAGACCCACCAAGUCCACACUAGCAUUUGGUUUGGAGGUUGUCUACAGAGACAGACAGUCUCUGAGGAGCCUGAAGACCUUGGACUCCAGGUGCUUCCUUCGUGACUCUGUGCCUCAUCUUCCUGGCAGAGAGGCACAAGGAACUUCUUUGAGGCUACACAUGCUUCAUUUUCAGAUCUCCAGAGUGGAAUCAACAGAAAUCUCCUCUACUGGGUCCACCAAGGUUUGCAUGACAGUCGUCUGCCCUCCGCUGAGAGACCAGCUCUUAGAAGUCUCAGAAGGCCGCAAGUGUGAUGCUCAAGGACACUAGAAGAACGCACCAGGUCUCUUGGAGUUGGAGUUACAGAGUGGUAGAAUGUGCCAUUUUGGAAGGAGUGUGACUCUGAACCAACAGCACUUGGAAAGUGUCGUAUGUACAAGGAUUCUCUGACUCAUGCUCAUCUCUUCUGGAAGGCCAGCGAUAAUCUCCCCUGUGGAGUAUAUUCCCUAUACCGGAAGGGAAGUAACAAUCUUAACGUUUUAAAAUUAACUAAUUAGUUUGGUGUGUAUGUGUUUGGGCAUGUGUUCUGUGCAGCACAUGUGUGGAGGUCAGAGAACAGCUCGGAGGAGUCAGUUUUCUCUUUCUACACAUGGGUACUAGGAAGCAAACUUAGGUGGUCAGACUCUGCAGAAAGCAUCCUUCCUGCUGAGCUAAAUCUGGAAAAUAACAUUUCUGGAAUCAAGGAUGGGCGGUUUGGUAGUUAAAUUUGACCUUCAGCUGAAGGGGUUUAGAAUUUCCCAGGUGACAUGAGGCCUGUGUGGCUGUUGCCAGAGCAGUUUACUGAAGUGGAAAGACCCACCCUGAAUGUGGCUGGAUCCCUAGACAGAACAGAAAGUGUUGGGGAUUGGUUCCAAUGCUCUAAAUUAAACUGGCUCCCAAAAUCAGGAAUCUGCGCGUCCAACCGCUGAAGGUCCUUGUCUCCAAUUGGUUGUUGAUUGAUCAAUAAAGAGCCAACAGCCAAUGGCUGGGCAGCUAGACUGAGGCGGGACCUUUAGAUUUGCUUGCGUUAGGAAUUGAAAGAAAGGAAGACAGAGAAUCACCGUGACUCAGGGGAGAAGGAUGGGACAUAAGAGCUGCAGGAGAGAAAGCUGAUCGGCCAUGUAAGAAUUUGGGUAAGCCAAUGGCCACUUACCCACUGAGCCUGGGGUAGUUGGGCAAGAUUUAGGAGUCUCGGGAGUACAGGGGCGGGGCAGGUUUAGGAGUGCCCAACCUUUGAGCUAGUCAUGGCAUGUCAAAAAUUAACUCUGUGUGUGUGUGUGUGUGUGUGUGUGUGUGUGUGUGUGUGUGUGUCUGUCUGUCUGUCUGUCUGUCUGUCUGUCUCACUGUCUGUCUUUCAUUCGAGAAUCUGGAUAGCUCCUGAGGGAGUGCAGGUGUGCAAUCGACUGGGAGCAAAAGCAGUUCAACUAAUCUUACCACUACAACAAAGGAAAGAUGAAAUGAGCAGCAGCUAGCUAUCUCUCUGUGUUUGCUAACUUAGGGUACCAUGACGCCAUCUCACGCUCUGUGGCAGAGAGUUUCUCUCACACUCUGUAGCCAGAACAAAUUCCCGCUUGCUUAAGUAGCUUGUGUCAUGAAUGCCUGUGGCAAGCAGUAGAGUGAUUACCCCAGGGUUUGUUCUGAGAAGUGAGGCUGUGUGUCUUAGUUAGGGUUUCAUUGCUGUGAGGACACACCACAGCCAAGGCUGCUCUUAUAAAGGAAAACAUUUAAUUUUCCUGGCUGGCUUACAGGUUCAGAGGUUCAGUCCAUUAUCAUCAUGGUGGGAAGCAUGGCAGCAUCUGGGCAGACAUGUGAUGGAGGAACCAAGAGUUCUUUUUCCAAACAUAGCAGAAAGAGAACAUAAUGACCCUACGUAUCUUCCAUGGAUAGACCCUUCUUUAUUCAAAGCAGCCUGCCCCCACCCCCAUUGGCUAAAACACAUGAAAAAAAUAGCCCUUUUAAAAAAAUUAUCAACACUGACAGAUAAAUUUAGAAAUUCUAUUAAAAAAUGUAACGCUGUGAAAAAUUUUAGUUUGUUUUCUUGCCAGAAUAUGCCUCUAAAGAGAAAGAUGUCAGGCAGUGGAAAUUAUAACAACUCUAUUUUACUAUUUCCAUGGAUAGAAAUAUUACAACAUUAAUUUGAAUUUUAGAUUUUCUUGAAGUUAUUGGGGAAAUAAGAACAAUGAAAAUAGAUUCUUUGUGAGUUAACUAAAACCCAGAAGAGCAGGGAAAGUGGAUUUGAUGGUACGGUAGUUAUUUCUAGAUCACUGUGGUGAUUUUUGUGCCUGUUGGCUUCCAGCAUGGUCUCUACAUGGCAGUGACCAAGUGAAGCUGGGUGAGAGGAAGGAAGACUGAGAGUAACACAAAGACUCUGUCUACAGUCAACACCAACUGAGCAUUUGUGUAUCGGUUCUCUGCAUUAGUGUGCGUAUUUACAUGAUUUCCUUUGAACCCACAACAGCUCCAAGGAGUCAGCACUUCUGUUAUCUCUAUUUCCUGUCAAGAAAACCAGAGCUUGAAAGGAUUUGCCCAUGGCUUCUAGGUAGGAAUACCCACGCUGACAGCAAAACCCAUGCUGGCUUGCCCGCAGGCUGGCAGAUCUCAGCAUCAUGCCAUAAACGACAGAAGACCCAUAAAGCUCUGAUACAUCUAUAUUUAACAUGAACUACAAAUAAUGAGAGACUUAUGGUGGUCCACAGAUAGAAACUUACUAUGGUAGCAGCAUGCAGCUGUUAGGUUUAACUUAGCACAUUCAACAAAGUGGAAAUCAAGGAAAACAUUUCCCAUCACGGUUGAUCACCGUUGGACUUUGAAGGGCUGUACGUCUUAGCUAUGCUUCUAGACAAAUAAAGCUGCACAACGCCAGACGUUUCUACUCGCCUCUUGAUUCGGGAAGAUCCAGUUUGAUGAUGAGACAUUUUCUCUUGAAUUGUAGUACAGCAACUGAAGGAGAUGGAGAGAGUUAAGAUAAUAAAUUCAGACAGAAAAGCUGUAAAGUAAAAUGAUGGUUAAAUAGCCUCCUUGCCUGGGGCGUACAUUAGGGAACAAAUUUGUGACCUUUGAUAAUCCAUCCACCAAAAAGCUUAUGAAAUAGUCUUGCCAGUGACCUUCAGGAGAGUGACCUUCAGGAGAAUAAGAGCAUCUACACAGGCCGAGGUUCUGUUUUUAUAGGUUCAAAAUUAAGGACCACAAGAAGAACAAAGGACGAGAACUGUUUUGAAAUCUGCACAAAUGGAUCAGUAAUGGAAUUUUCCUCAAAUUUCAUGUACAAAGCAGCUGUUGCCGGAAGGAUGCUACAGAGAUCCUCCUAUGGCUGGAUAGUCACUUUGCACUGCUGUUAUAAAAACACUAUUACCAAGGCGACUUAUAGAAAGAAGAUGGCUUAAGUUUCCCGGGGAAAGUCUGUAACAUCAGAAAGGCAUGGCUGUAGUCAUCUAGAACCACACACAAACUCAGAGAGAAACUACAUGUCGGGCAAGGUCAUAAGCUGUCAAAGCUCUCCCCACCAAGGGACGUGCUUCCUCCAGCAAUGCUGAACCUCCCCAGACACCACCACCAACUGGAGAUCAAGUGUUCAAAUAUCUGAGCUUUGCGGGGACAUUUCUCAUUUGAAACCCCCUCCCCAGAAGAGUCAUUCAGGAUGCCUUACAGUUUACAGGACAUGCUGUAAUCAAAGUAACUAUUAAAUGUUCCCAAGAUUUCUGAGACUUGCAAAGGACAUUUAAUAAAUAAAAAAAUGUACAGUGAAAUAAAAAAACAAUUAAGAAAAACACAUUGCAUUUGUAGGGAUCUCUCAGUUCAAGAAGAACUGAAUCUCCCGUCAGUCAGCUUCGUGUGAAGAUAACUAGAGGCUUCUGGGUUGACAUGAGAGGAUUUUAACAACCUUCCGAUUGCUAAAGAGUUUGACAUGACUUUAUGUCCAGGUCAUGAUGGCAUUUUAAUAGCAGCACAAGGUUUUCAAACAGGAGACACUGAAGGGCAGUUGCUCUCCUUUGGCACUAGAGGCCAGUCUGCAGCUAAUUAGCAGGUCAUAGGUGGAAGUGGACUGUGGCAGAACAACAAAACAUUGUUGUUAUCAGUUCACUGAACAGAUGGAAGAAAGGCAUUUCAAGUCAAGCCAAAUGGAGCUGAAGGUGACACAGUAUCAAAAUUAGACUGAAACUGGUGCAGAUGCACUGGAACCCAGCUUCACUGUGACUUUCUCUUCUCCUUGGAGGCUGUUCGCCACUGGCCCUCGUGGAAAAAGGGAGCAGAAGUGGGGGACCAGGG